UACGUAGGGGGCAAGCGUUGUCCGGAUUUAUUGGGCGUAAAGAGCGUGUAGGCGGCCUGACAGGUCUGCUGUGAAAACUCGAGGCUCAACCUCGAGAUGUCGGCGGAAACCGUCAGGCUAGAGUCCGGAAGAGGAGAGUGGAAUUCCUGGUGUAGCGGUGAAAUGCGCAGAUAUCAGGAAGAACACCUAUGGCGAAGGCGGCUCACUGGCCCGAUACUGACGCUGAGGCACGAAAGCGUGGGGAGCAAACAGG
rnacentral:rRNA from 1 species